AUCCAACUGACAAGUCCCAAAUUAGACGAAACGCGCGUCAAAACUGGAU
rfam:Schistosoma rodhaini strain Burundi genome assembly, scaffold: SROB_scaffold0003766